rnacentral:lncRNA from 1 species
GGGAAAGGAAAAAAAAAUAUUGAAAAGGAAUAAUAGGGAGUUGUCUUUUUUUCUGCCUCUUUAAAGGACUUAUUAAAUAAUGUUUUAUUUAAAUAUUUCUCUGCUAAAUAGAUUCCUAAUGUUUAUUCUGUAUAGUUUCAAUUUAUCAUAUUUAUGAUGCAUUAAUUUUGAUGACCAUAAGCUAAAACCACUUUAUAAAAUACUUCAAUCUUUUACUUUUUUUUUUACAUGAAUGUAUUUGUACACCUCAAACAUUUUUUUAAAUAUCUAGUCUCAAACUGCUACAGCAUAAAUGUGGGUAUAUACACAACAUGCACAUAUGUAAUAUAGAAGCCAUACAUUGUACAACUGAUUGAGUUUUUAGCUCGUCCACAUUUUAUUUGUUUGUUUGUUUUUUUACUUUUUAUUUUUAAGUUGAAAACAUGCCUUACUGUACCCUGAUGUUUAGUAGCUUAGUGGUGUUAAGUAGCAAAGUGGCAAAUGCAUAAGUUAAGAACCACAGAAAAUGAUAUGCCAUACAUUUUAAAACUAGUUGGAUUUCCCCUUGUCCAUUUCUUUUUGUUUUUAUUUUGUUUGUCCCUUGACAGUAAUAAGCAUAGUAAUCUGAAAAUAGCAGGUUGUUACACAGCAACUGUUAUUAAAGAGCCAUUCUAGAUACCUACCAUAACACUGCAGCAUGCUGUAAGGGUUAUGGUGCCAAGAGCUGUCUAGUAGUAAUAUGUCAAACUAUUAAUGAACUGUUUGAUGCUUACCUGGCUUCUUUAUGUACCCAUGGUCCUUGCAGUCUGAGUUAAUCUGAUAAAGCACACGUUCAAGCUUUCGUAUUAUCACACUAACUCAUAUCAGGUAUAUGCAGUAUUCAUGGACUGAGGCUGUCUGCUGGGUUAUGGUAUGAAUUGUUAAGAUUGAACUUCCAACUUAUUCAUACAACUGCAUCUGACACAAAGUGUCAAACCACUCCUAAAUUUGACAGAUGGUGCUCGGUGACUUCUGACACCAUAACCUCCACAUGCAUGCUGUACGGGUUAUGGCACUUAGUGUCACUUUAAUCUGCAACUCCUAUCAUAUUUAAACUGCCAACUACUUCAAGGCCAAUAAGACAAAACCGCUGAAGUACUGUUGUUUUCAUAUCAGGAUCACCAGUGGUAAAUGGUUUUGGGAUAUACCCUUGUCAAAGAGUUGGAUAAAGCAUAAAACAUGGACAAUUGUUGGUCUUUGGGUGUUUUGAAAGAGGUUUGCUUUUUGAAAUAGAGGACUGUCCUUAGAGCAGGUAUGUAACACUGAUUUCUAUUUUGACACACAUUGCAACAUACAAGUCUAAUACGCUAAGAACUCCAACCCCCCCCAAAACAUCAGUGUGUUUGUCAAAACUGUAAUGUGAAAAAGACAAUGUUACGCUAUGGAGCAAAAAUCUAAGACUCUGUAAAUAACAUUGGAAAUUUUGCUCAACUACUUAGUUAAUUUGCCCCUGAUAUUUUAUAUUGAUUUCUUAUGUUACAAACUAUUGACCAGAUGUGGAUUUGCAAAAAAACUAACUAAACAAAACAACAAUUAAGAUUUAAAUAUGCGAAUGCGCCUUGCCUUUGUUAAAAAAAAAAAAAAGCUAUAAAGUGAGCUAAUUUUUACAGAGCCACCUUAAAUUCAACUUUACUGACAUUUUUUAUGAUUAUUAACAGAGUUUGUAGGCUAACCUGCUUUCUUUAAUACAAGAUGAAGACCAUAUUUUCUCAUUUAGCCAAUAUAGGAACAGAUUUGUCAGAACGCUAAGCUAACUUUUAUAUAUGUCAGGACACAAAAAAUACUUAUGAGUUUAUUCAUUAAAUAGUGAGUUGUUAAGACUUGAAAACAGCUUAAUUUUGAAUAGCAUAGAUGACUUGGAAAGUAAAAUGUACACAAUUACUUUAUUUUCAAACUCACCUAACAUUGUAUAGACUUUCAACUGGCCACAACAUACAUUUUAAUAUAUUAUAACCCUACAAUAAUAUGGUUUUCUUUUUAAAAGUAAUUUCCACCCCAAUGAGCCGAAACGUUAUUAUUGCUUUCAAAGUUUGAGUAAAUGAAUAACUAAUUAACUGAUCAAUCUGUCCAUACCAACAGGAUCCGAUGCACCCCAGUCCUGGCAAAGAUUAUUAUGUAGAAUAUUAUCUUUUCAUAUAUAGACUUAAUGGGAAAAUAUGCAAAAGACAUUCAAGAAGAAACAUCCAAGUAAAAAAAGAAAUAGGUCUUAAGGAUGUAUUUUGCAAAACAGGUUAUAUAUAUAUGUAUGUAUGUAUGUAUGUAUGCACAUGUGUAAAUGUGGAUCACACACACACGAGUACGCAAAUAUAUGUCCAUAUAAUUUUUAAAAAAAGACCUGUAAUAGGUUAUUGCCAAAUUACGUUUAUCCCUUUCCCUCCAUGUUGGUAGGACGAUUUCUGUUUUAGGCCAUUUUUGGUAUCUUUUACAAGCAUUUGGUACCACACUGUACAGAAAAUGCUGCUGUUACACAAAGUACUUUUGAUUUUCCCAUAAUAUGUUACUUAGAUUAUGUUGCCACAUACAUAUAACGGGGAAGACCGGCUUGCACCUGUACUUAAAGUGUUAUUUUGUGCUACUACAUUGGUAAUAGAGCACAGAGUAUGGUGCUGAACCCCUAGCACAGGUAAGCAAAGGUUUAAAACACUGGAUUUUGUAUGUCUUGUUUUGUGGUGUUGGCACAGUUCUCAUAUUGAAUAAGAAAUCCCCACAAAUUCUUUUGUGCCAUGUAAAACUUAUGAAUAUGACGCCUGAAACACAAUGUUAACGCAAGCUUUAGAAAUGGUUAUUCAUUGAGAAUUUUUUUUUUUGUGAAUAUGAAUUUGCACCCAGAAUAUGAAUGUACUUCACACUGCAGUUCAACAAGUAACCAGGUGAUGGCAGUAUAGUGCUGUCAUAAAGUCUAGUUUAACCCCUUAAGGACACAUGCCAUGUGUGACAUGUCAUGAUUCCCUUUUAUUCCAGAAGUUUGGUCCUUAAGGGGUUAAGAGGCAGACAAAUCUAAGCUAAUUCAGCUUCUCGUUUGUUGAUACUACUGCAAAAGUAAAAAAAAAACAUGGAGGCAAUAUAUACGGACAGCUGUUUCAGCAAAAUGUGUUCUGUAAUAAACUCUUUUAGGUAAAUGUGUGAGAAUUCAGAGAAUUUUAAUGCCUGUGCUGGAUUAGGUGCUUUCUAUGUUUCCUGGAUUUGCCUGGGAGUUUUGCAGAUUAAUUAAGCCUUUUUGUCAUGCAAACUUCUCAGCGUCCAAAGAGUUAAAGCCACAUAUGCCACAUCUCAGCACCCAGUGGUUUAAAACUGCUGUGUUGAAAUAAACGGGGCUCUGCGCUCUACUAUCUAUUUGUGUGGUAUUUUAACCAUAUAGGUGGUAUUGAAACCUCUGGUUAAUUAAUUAAUUUCUUAUUUCUCUGGGUGCUUUCUAGAAUCCCAUCAUAAUGGCCUGUUUAGCACUGGACCAGUUAAUGCUGCUAACAUAAAUUAGUUUAUUGUUUUACUUCGUGUAGUGCCUGAAACAAGGCAGACAAUAUACAGAGUUCGUCAGACCUUGAGCUGGAGGGUUUAAAAGUACUUACUGAAUUAUCAUAGGCCUUCUGCUGCGUUCUGUCUGAAAGUGACAGUUUGAUGUAGAAACUUAAAAAAAUAACUAUUUAUAAGUUGGAGGCCGUAAUUGGAGUUUUUGAAGCUUUUGUCAGUAGCAGUCAAUCUAAAACAAGCCUAGUGCAUACAUUAUAGGUAGGGGGUGAUAACUACCUAGUACCGGCCUGGGCAUAGCAGAAGAUCACAUAUAAUCUUUAUACAUGGGCAUACCAAGCCAUUUUAACUGAAGUAAGAUGUUGCCUAAUAUUUAUCUUAGUUCUGUCUUAUUACACCACCGUCCUGUAAGCGCCACACCAAGUGCCUUGAGUGUUUUGUUAUUUCUCCAUAAUGAUACAUUUCAAUUGAUUCAGACCAUUGUAAUGAAAGGAUUCAGUCUUUCGGAAAGUGUCUUGAAUUAAAAUUAUACUUUUGGACUCUUCAGCAGUAAAAAUGUUAAUUUUAAACAAUUUCUACCUUUGUUACAAGAAGAGUGUUCUUUAGAACAGCCAAUGAGAACAGCGUGUGAAGGUUUCUUCCCUAAUAAAAGUUUUAACUGAGGGAGCAAUGGUUGACUAUUUUGCAUUUUUCUUUGCAAAAAUGCAAAAUGUAUUAUGUUUUUAUUAUGUUGUUUUCAUUUUGGCGUUUGGUACAGCAGCUUUAACAGGUAUCGUGUAGCACUUAAAAGAAUAUUAUGCUAAUGAGCAAAAACUAUUUUUGGGACAAACCUUUUGAGUCAUAGCAUUGUAUUGUUUUCCUAUUAAAGUUUUUUCUUUUUUUUUCCGUUUGUAAUUUUCUUUUUUUUUUUAAAAGCUUUUUGUAAAAAGCUAAGAAAAAAAAACCAUGUUGUGUAUAUGUGUGUGCCCUUUUCAUUUAUGUAAAUGUUCUCAGAAUAUUUAUUUACUAAUAUAUUUAUCUUCAGACAAGUCUUAUGUUGAGUGUUAUUGGGAUAAUCAAUGAAUAUUUCUAACACAAAUUUUUUUAACUGUCCAGAAAAUGCACAUGGAUGUAAUUUUUUUGACCAAAUUAUGAUUAAAAAUAAAUAUGAAAUAAUUUUAGUACUAUACAGUUUUGUAACAAAGUGUACAAAUGUUAAAAAUACAAUUUUACCAAGAAAUGUG